CAGAUUGUAGCUUAUUUAAAGCUUUUUAUUUACACUAAUAGGAAAAUAUAUUAACUGUUUAAUCUGA
rnacentral:tRNA from 1 species